rnacentral:tRNA from 1 species
AUUCAUUUAGUAUAUAAGUAUAUUUAACUUCCAAUUAAAAGGUUUAAUUUUAAAAUGAAUA